CCUUGGUAGAUCUCAUCAUAGGUAUAGUGGUCUUAUCAGAUAUCCAAGAAUUACUGCCUGUGUUGAUCCUUUUUAUUAAAUGUUUGCUUUAUUUUUAUUUUCAGUUUUUUAAUAUUCUCCUUCUCCUUUCUUUUAAUUUUCACCAUCUUCCUUUGAUAAUUUUUUCUAACUUCAUGAGAUGUGUUCUUAUCUUGUUAAAUUUAAUCUUUCUCUACAUUACAAUGUAUUCAUCUGUGGUUAUAAUGUCCCCUCUACUUAACUGCUGCAUCCCACAAAUCUGAACAUAUGGUAUUUUUAUUAAGUUCAAAAUAAUUUUAAUAUGCAUUAUGCUAUCCAUUCCAGUAGAUAAGAUGCUCUUACUUCAGCUAGUUAGAAAUAGUUUUAAUUUACAAGCACAUAGUAAUGUUUUUAAAUUUAUUUUCAGCUUAAUUCCAUGGUUGUUCAGACAAUACAUCACAUAUAAAUCCAAUCUUUAAAAAAAUUAUCGAGACUUGAAUUAUGAACCAAUGUAUGGUCAAUUUUGGUAAACAUUUUGUUUGUGCUUAAAAAGACUUUGUGUUCUGAGGUUUUGGGAUACCAUGUUCUAUAUAAUUCUUUUAAGUCAAUUUGUUUCUAUACCAAUCCUUUUAUAGUUGUUGCACCUGCUUUGAAGGCUCUUUUCCUAUACAUUUGCAUGGACACUGCUUCAUUUCACUCAGACCUAUGCUUACAGAUGGUCUCCUCAGCCAGAUCUUCCCUCACUACCCUGUGUUAUUUUUCUUGAAGCCUGAGAGUACAUUAUGUCUGUUUGCUUAUUAUCAAUCUCCCUAACUGUAAUAGAAACUCCUUGAGGCAAACACAUCUCCCCUCUUAUUUACUGUGCUACUGUGCUAUCCCCAACACUCCAACACUUGAAAAGUAUUACAUACUUUUCAAUAAAUGUGUUUUGAAUGAUUAAGUGAAUGAAUUAAAAUUAAUACCCAACAGAGAACUCACUAUGUAUGUAUGUAUGUAUGUAUGUAUGUGCAUGUAAAUAUCCAUAGUAUAAAAGCUUAACCCCACUUUUUUCCUUCAAUAGAUUUGGCAUUGCUCACAUAGGCACAGGUUAAAUAUGGAGGAGGAAAUGGAGAAUAAGAAGAUUCUGUUAUAGAGAUCAUCUAAAGCAGAAGCACCUGACUUCUUUUGCCCAUUUACCUGCUACAUCCCAAGAGAGAAGGAAUGACUAAUAUGAUUAGUCAGAUGACACUCCAAGAGCCUGCCAGCAGGUCAUAUGCUUUCUGCUGCCAUAGCCUACCUGGGGUACCCUGGUCUGCUAGGAUUUGUCAGGUCGUGAAUCAGAGUGAAGCUGGAACAGGAAAGAUUAGACAGACACACAUGGAAUCUGAAGCAGGCUCCAGGAUCUGAGCUGUCAGCACAGAGCCU